rnacentral:lncRNA from 1 species
GUUUUAUAGUUUAGGAAAUAAUUAUAUUGAAUAGAUAUACUUUUGGGAUGUGGUAUUUACUUUCCAUUCAAACAUUUUUCCAAUUAUAUAAAAGUCAUAAAAGUUCACUUUUUUUUAUUCAAAUAAAAAUAUUUGAAAUUCAGACAUAAGUUAUAAAAAAAUAUACAACUAAUAAUUUUUUUUUAAAAAGAUGAAAUUAAAUAAAUUUUCAAAACUUCAAACUUGUUGUAUAAAAACAUCAACAGAUUGAUUUGAUGCAAUAUAUAUAGAGGCUCGCAAGUUCCUCAUUUUAUAAAUGUAUUCUUCUAAUUCAUUAUUGAAGCUUUGAAAACAGCAAUUUUUUUCUAAUAUUUAAGCAGAAGACCGAGUCUAAUACAUUAUUUGAAAAUUUUUAUAGAACAUUUAAAAAGAGCAUUGGUUCGAAUAUUUCAUUCAAAACGUUUAAUAAAUUUUACAAAUAACUCAUAUCUCAUAAUUUCACGGUGCUAUUGUUGACCUGAUCAAUGGUAGUAACAGUAGUUGCGCAAGAUUAAAAUUAUCUGAUUGAAUAAAAAUAGUGACAGCAGUAAGAAAAAAUAAAUGUGGAAAAUGAGCCAAAAAGAAUUAUUUUAUUUCGUUAAUUCCUAUCACAUUUGAAGAAUUAAUAACGUUAUCAGGAUUCAUCAAAAAAUUAAUGUAAAAUAAAAAUGGUUUAUGAAGAAGCUUAUAAAAAUCUCUUUGAAAUGUAAGCUAUAAACAUAUAUAGCUUUUUAUUUAAAUAGAAAAUUUUGAGGGAUUAACUCAUUUAUGAAUAAAAUUUAAUUUAGUAAAAAUUUAGAAAAGAUAGAUUUUAUUUCAUCAAUGACAUUGGUAAAAUCACUAAAAAUAUAAGCAAAUAGAGAAUACUUUACUUUAAAACCAACAUAAAUUAAGUUUAUUCAUUUUAAUAUCUCUUUGAAUUCUUUUCUCUUUCUAUAUGCUUCGUUUAAUUUCUUUUAUAUUUUUUUUGGUCCCAUUAGUUUAACUCCCUUUUUUUUUUUUUGAACCACGAGGUGGUCCUGAAUGGAAUACAACUGUAAGAGACACCUUUAAACACGUACCACAAUCUCUUUUUUUAGACCAAAUUGUUACAUUCAAAUUUAGAAUUUUGUGAGGAGAUCAAUAAUAUAUAUAAAAGCACCACUUUCUUUUUUUAGAUUACUUUUAGAUCGUGCACUUUCAAUGACUAACAUUAAAUCUAGGUGUUGUAAAUUACGGCAAUAUCUAAGUGGCCACCAUCUUUCUCUGUGGCAUCAGCUGACUCGGACAAAGACAAAAGCUGAGAAAAAAGCACCAGAAUAAUGGAAUAGGAAAGUGGUUAUUACUAUAAACAUUUUAUUCUUGCACCAAAAGUUAAAGAAAUGUAUUAGCUAGCUAGCCUGCACAAAAGCAGCCACAUGCAGAAGCAAUGGCCGCUAGCUAUGAGCAUGAAUAAAGGGGAAAUGGAGCUGGUGCCAUGGUGAGUCACUGUCAAUUUUUCAUUCUAAUACCAAGUAACAGAGGCGCAGUUUGUUCGUGUCUUCAAUUUUUCUGAGGGCGUGCCAUGGUGAUUAUGACAAAAGCCCCACCACAGAAUAAGCCUUCGGGCAAUCAAUAUCUUGAAAACGAUAAAGCAAUGGCCAAAGGUUAAAGAGCUGAAGUAAUAUCCUUCUAGAAGCACUUCAUUUGCGGUGCCCAAUCCAAUUGCCAAUUGGCGACUCGUAUAUCGUGGAUAAAAUUGACUUUGCCCUUUUGUCUUUUACAUGAGGGGUCUUUUUAUCUCUUUGGCAAAAUUAGAAAUUAUGACAUGUGGCUUGUAUUUUUUGAUCAUCUUGUUUAUCACAACGAUUUUCUUUUUCUUCUGGAUUCUACUUAAGGUCCAUAUGUUUGGUAAUUAUGGUAUGUUUAUUUCAUAGAAUGUGAAUGAGCUGGAAAUGAAAAUAGGCUGGAAUGAGAAAUGAAAUUUCAAUGUUUACUUAACAAAAAUAAAUGGGAAUGAAAAUGAGAAUGUGCUGGAAUGCAAUUGAUGUGUUUACUUGACAAAAUAAAUGAGAAUGAGAAAUAGAAAUAAGUAGGGAUGGCAAUGGAUUGGAUCUGACCCAAGAUCCACGUGAUCCAAAUCUAAUCGGAUCGGAUUUGGGUCGGUUUAAAAUGAAUUUGGAUCGGAUUUAGAUAUUGAUAUGCGGAUCUAAGACGGAUCUGGAGCAGGUAUGAAUCUAUCUUAAUAUCUAAAUCCAUAUACAUAUCCACCCAUCU